rnacentral:rRNA from 1 species
AGGAUUAACGCUGGCGGCGUGCCUAACACAUGCAAGUCGAACGAGGUAGCAAUACCUAGUGGCAGACGGGUGAGUAACGCGUGGUCAACCUACCGUUGAGUGGGGGAUAACUAGCCGAAAGGUUAGCUAAUACCGCAUACGAGUCUCGGGGGCAUCCCUGAGCCUUAAAAGGAGCAAUCCGCUCGAUGACGGGACCGCGUCCCAUUAGCUAGCUGGUGGAGUAACGGUUCACCAGGGCGACGAUCGGUAGCUGGUCUGAGAGGACGAUCAGCCACACUGGGAUUGAGAACGGCCCAGACUCCUACGGGGGGCAGCAGUGAGGAAUUUUCGUCAAUGGGGGCAACCCUGAACGAGCAACGCCGCGUGCAGGAAGAAGGUUUUCGGAUCGGUAAACUGCUUUUCUCGGGGAAGAGAACGGACGGUACCCGAGGAAUCGAGCCCCGGCUAACUACGUGCCAGCAGCCGC